rnacentral:rRNA from 1 species
CCUACGGGUGGCAGCAGUGGGGAAUAUUGGACAAUGGGGGCAACCCUGAUCCAGCCAUGCCGCGUGUGUGAAGAAGGCCCUCGGGUUGUAAAGCACUUUCAGUGAGGAAGAACGCCUGGUGGUUAAUACCCAUCAGGAAAGACAUCACUCACAGAAGAAGCACCGGCUAACUCCGUGCCAGCAGCCGCGGUAAUACGGAGGGUGCGAGCGUUAAUCGGAAUUACUGGGCGUAAAGCGCGCGUAGGUGGCUUGAUAAGCCGGUUGUGAAAGCCCCGGGCUCAACCUGGGAACGGCAUCCGGAACUGUCAAGCUAGAGUGCAGGAGAGGAAGGUAGAAUUCCCGGUGUAGCGGUGAAAUGCGUAGAGAUCGGGAGGAAUACCAGUGGCGAAGGCGGCCUUCUGGACUGACACUGACACUGAGGUGCGAAAGCGUGGUAGCAAACAGGAUUAGAUACCCCAGUAGUC